rnacentral:rRNA from 1 species
CGGAUUGAAGGCUGAAAUUCGCCUUCAUGAAGCUGGAAUUGCUAGUAAUGGCAGGUCAGCAUACUGCCGUGAAUACGUUCCCGGGCCUUGUACACACCGCCCGUCACACCAUGAGAGUUGGGAAUACCCGAAGCCUGUGAGCUAACUAUAAGGAGGCAGCAGUCGAAGGUAGAAUCAAUGAUUGGGGUGAAGUCGUAACAAGGUACC